UGUCUGCCAUGAUGAAAUGCAAUUUCAGUCCGUGUUUCAGCUGAUUACCCUGAUUGCAUGCAUACUCUGAGCAGACU
rnacentral:snoRNA from 15 species